rnacentral:rRNA from 1 species
UGAGGAACAUGACCUUCGGCGGGGGAUAGCCGGCCCAACGGCCGGGUAAUACCGCGUACGACCACAUGGGGACAUCCCCGAGUGGUGAAAGCAGCAAUGCGCCGAUGGAGUGCCUCGCGGCCUAUCAGCUAGUUGGUGAGGUAACGGCUCACCAAGGCGACGACGGGUAGCUGGUCUGAGAGGAUGGCCAGCCACAGUUGGGACUGAGACCACGGCCCAGCCUCCGUAGG